ACCCUGGUGGCAUAGUGGUCGAGUGCUAUGGCUGCUAACCAAAGGGCUGGCAGUUCGAAUCUGCCGGGUG
rfam:Loxodonta africana unplaced genomic scaffold scaffold_4, whole genome shotgun sequence.